GCCGCUAUCGUCUAGUGGUUUAGGACAUCGCCCUCUCAAGGCGGAGACCGUGGGUUCAAAUCCCACUAGCGGCA
rnacentral:tRNA from 1 species